rnacentral:rRNA from 1 species
UGACAUAAGUAACGAUAAAGCGGGUGAAAAGCCCGCUCGCCGGAAGACCAAGGGUUCCUGUCCAACGUUAAUCGGGGCAGGGUGAGUCGACCCCUAAGGCGAGGCCGAAAGGCGUAGUCGAUGGGAAACAGGUUAAUAUUCCUGUACUUGGUGUUACUGCGAAGGGGGGACGGAGAAGGCUAUGUUGGCCGGGCGACGGUUGUCCCGGUUUAAGCGUGUAGGCUGGUUUUCCAGGCAAAUCCGGAAAAUCAAGGCCGAGGCGUGAUGACGAGGCACUACGGUGCUGAAGCAACAAAUGCCCUGCUUCCAGGAAAAGCCUCUAAGCAUCAGGUAACAUCAAAUCGUACCCCAAACCGACACAGGUGGUCAGGUAGAGAAUACCAAGGCGCUUGAGAGAACUCGGGUGAAGGAACUAGGCAAAAUGGUGCCGUAACUUCGGGAGAAGGCACGCUGAUACGUAGGUGAAGCGACUUGCUCGUGGAGCUGAAAUCAGUCGAAGAUACCAGCUGGCUGCAACUGUUUAUUAAAAACACAGCACUGUGCAAACACGAAAGUGGACGUAUACGGUGUGACGCCUGCCCGGUGCCGGAAGGUUAAUUGAUGGGGUUAGCGCAAGCGAAGCUCUUGAUCGAAGCCCCGGUAAACGGCGGCCGUAACUAUAACGGUCCUAAGGUAGCGAAAUUCCUUGUCGGGUAAGUUCCGACCUGCACGAAUGGCGUAAUGAUGGCCAGGCUGUCUCCACCCGAGACUCAGUGAAAUUGAACUCGCUGUGAAGAUGCAGUGUACCCGCGGCAAGACGGAAAGACCCCGUGAACCUUUACUAUAGCUUGACACUGAACAUUGAGCCUUGAUGUGUAGGAUAGGUGGGAGGCUUUGAAGUGUGGACGCCAGUCUGCAUGGAGCCGACCUUGAAAUACCACCCUUUAAUGUUUGAUGUUCUAACGUGGACCCGUGAUCCGGGUUGCGGACAGUGUCUGGUGGGUAGUUUGACUGGGGCGGUCUCCUCCUAAAGAGUAACGGAGGAGCACGAAGGUUGGCUAAUCCUGGUCGGACAUCAGGAGGUUAGUGCAAUGGCAUAAGCCAGCUUGACUGCGAGCGUGACGGCGCGAGCAGGUGCGAAAGCAGGUCAUAGUGAUCCGGUGGUUCUGAAUGGAAGGGCCAUCGCUCAACGGAUAAAAGGUACUCCGGGGAUAACAGGCUGAUACCGCCCAAGAGUUCAUAUCGACGGCGGUGUUUGGCACCUCGAUGUCGGCUCAUCACAUCCUGGGGCUGAAGUAGGUCCCAAGGGUAUGGCUGUUCGCCAUUUAAAGUGGUACGCGAGCUGGGUUUAGAACGUCGUGAGACAGUUCGGUCCCUAUCUGCCGUGGGCGCUGGAGAACUGAGGGGGGCUGCUCCUAGUACGAGAGGACCGGAGUGGACGCAUCACUGGUGUUCGGGUUGUCAUGCCAAUGGCACUGCCCGGUAGCUAAAUGCGGAAGAGAUAAGUGCUGAAAGCAUCUAAGCACGAAACUUGC